rnacentral:rRNA from 1 species
ACCAGACUCCUACGGGAGGCAGCAGUGGGGAAUAUUGGGCAAUGGGCGCAAGCCUGACCCAGCAACGCCGCGUGAAGGAAGAAGGCUUUCGGGUUGUAAACUUCUUUUGUCAGGGACGAAGCAAGUGACGGUACCUGACGAAUAAGCCACGGCUAACUACGUGCCAGCAGCCGCGGUAAUACGUAGGUGGCAAGCGUUAUCCGGAUUUAUUGGGUGUAAAGGGCGUGUAGGCGGGAAUGCAAGUCAGAUGUGAAAAUUAUGGGCUCAACCCAUAGCCUGCAUUUGAAACUGUAUUUCUUGAGUGCUGGAGAGGCAAUCGGAAUUCCGUGUGUAGCGGUGAAAUGCGUAGAUAUACGGAGGAACACCAGUGGCGAAGGCGGAUUGCUGGACAGUAACUGACGCUGAGGCGCGAAAGCGUGGGGAGCAAACAGGAUUAGAUACCCGAGUA